rnacentral:rRNA from 1 species
CCGAAUCGUUUCGUUCUCAGUCGAGCGACGGACGAGAAGCUUGCUUCUCUGAUGUUAGCGGCGGACGGGUGAGUAACACGUGGAUAACCUACCUAUAAGACUGGGAUAACUUCGGGAAACCGGAGCUAAUACCGGAUAAUAUUUUGAACCGCAUGGUUCAAAAGUGAAAGACGGUCUUGCUGUCACUUAUAGAUGGAUCCGCGCUGCAUUAGCUAGUUGGUAAGGUAACGGCUUACCAAGGCAACGAUGCAUAGCCGACCUGAGAGGGUGAUCGGCCACACUGGAACUGAGACACGGUCCAGACUCCUACGGGAGGCAGCAGUAGGGAAUCUUCCGCAAUGGGCGAAAGCCUGACGGAGCAACGCCGCGUGAGUGAUGAAGGUCUUCGGAUCGUAAAACUCUGUUAUUAGGGAAGAACAUAUGUGUAAGUAACUGUGCACAUCUUGACGGUACCUAAUCAGAAAGCCACGGCUAACUACGUGCCAGCAGCCGCGGUAAUACGUAGGUGGCAAGCGUUAUCCGGAAUUAUUGGGCGUAAAGCGCGCGUAGGCGGUUUUUUAAGUCUGAUGUGAUAGCCCACUGCUCACCCGUGCCCCGUCAUUGGGAACUGAUAAACUUGAUGCAGCACUAGAAAGUGGGAAAUACCCCUGUGUAACUAGUGCAGUAGUCGCAUGCUGAUCGUGGGGAUAAACCAGGGGGCUAUCAGCUGAUGCUACAUGCGUCCGCUAGUGCCAGUAGUAACGGAAAGAUAGGACCGUC